rnacentral:rRNA from 1 species
GAUGAACGCUAGCGGCAGGCCUAACACAUGCAAGUCGAACGGUAACAGGGAUUGCUUGCAAUCCGCUGACGAGUGGCGCACGGGUGCGUAACGCGUAUAGAACCUACCCUUUACAGGGGGAUAGCCCGGAGAAAUUCGGAUUAAUACCCCAUGGUAAUGCUUCGGGCAUCCUGAAGUGUUUAAAGUUUCGGCGGUAAAGGAUGGUUAUGCGUCUUAUUAGUUAGUAGGUGAGGUAACGGCUCACCUAGACAGCGAUAAGUAGGGGCCCUGAGAGGGGGAUCCCCACACUGGUACUGAGACACGGACCAGACUCCUACGGGAGGCAGCAGUGAGGAAUAUUGGACAAUGGUCGAGAGACUGAUCCAGCCAUGCCGCGUGCAGGAAGACGGCCCUAUGGGUUGUAAACUGCUUUUUUACGGGAAGAAUAAUGCCCACGUGUGGGCAGAUGACGGUACCGUAGGAAUAAGGACCGGCUAACUCCGUG